rnacentral:tRNA from 1 species
GCGCCCGUAGCUCAGGGGAUAGAGCGCUGGCCUCCGGAGCCAGAGGUAGCGCGUUCGAGUCGCGCCGGGCGCACCA